CUGUGUUAUCAUCAAGGCCGAAGCGACAAGAUGAAGGGAGAUUAUUAAGGCCCAAAGCGACAAAAUAAUUUCCAUCCAUUAAGGCCAAAGCGACAAAAUGGAGCGACUCACUAUCAGAGUCUGAUUCUGGCCAAAGCGACAGGAUCUAGUUCACUAUCAGAACCGAUGUUUAUAGUCCACCCUGAUCAAGAGCGACUUUAUGUCCGCAACGACGGUUACCCCACUAAGGCCAAAGCGACAAAGUAGGUCGAGAUCAUUAAGGCCAAAGCGACAAAAUGAUCUCCAAGUCUAUCAAGGCCAAAGCGACAAGAUAAGAGAAUUAUUGAGGCCAAAGCGACAAAAUAAUUCUUGGUCCAUUGAGGCCAUAGCGACAAAAUGGACUGACUCGUUAUUAAAGUCUGAUUCUGGCCGAAGUGACAGAAUGCGUGGAUCUUGGCCAAAGCGACAGGAUCGUUCCUGCAAAACAAAAAUAACCUGCAAAACAACUGCAUCAGUCUAAAGGAUAUAUUUAUUGACUUACUGACCUUGCCGUGCGGGGCUGCU
rnacentral:lncRNA from 1 species